CUAGCUGUAAACGAUGGAUACUAGGCGUUGAGAGUAUCGACCCUCUCAGUGUCGUAGCUAACGCGUUAAGCAUCCCGCCUGGGGAGUACGCGCGCAAGCGUGAAACUCAAAGGAAUUGACGGGGGCCCGCACAAGCGGUGGAGUAUGUGGUUUAAUUCGAUGCAACGCGAAGAACCUUACCAGGGCUUGACAUGUCCGGAACCCUGCCCAAAGGCGGGGGUGCCUACGGGAACCGGAACACAGGUGGUGC
rnacentral:rRNA from 1 species